rnacentral:lncRNA from 1 species
UCAUCAUCCAGGCGACUUCCGCCAGAAGAUCACCAGAGCCGACCAGAAGGAAGAUCACCAGAGCCAACUCUGAAGGAAUCAGCAAUCUUUCCACCAUCACUCCUCCAGAGAUAUUGAGCAGCCCAGAGUGUCCACCUCCAAACACGGGUCACUAAUCCUGUGCCCAAAUGGUGUUGGCCACCAGUUUGAAGGGUACCUGUCUCUCUAUGUCCAUCUGUGCCAUUCUCAGCCAUGAUGGAGAAGAGGCCAUAUUCAGAGGAGCAUCAGACCGAUUUACUGGACGGUGUGAUGACAUGUGCGAGGGUCCAGCUAUUCUGCUUUUUGGAGCCACUACAGCAGAUGUGUUGUUUUUUUUUCACACCAC